AUAUCAAUAAGCGGAGGAAAAGAAACUAACAAGGAUUCCCCUAGUAACGGCGAGUGAACCGGGAAGAGCUCAAAUUUGAAAUCUGGCGUCCUCAGGGCGUCCGAGUUGUAAUCUAUAGAGGCGUUUUCCGUGCCGGACCGUGUCCAAGUUCCUUGGAACAGGAUAUCAAAGAGGGUGACAAUCCCGUACUUGACACGACGACCGGUGCUCUGUGAUACGUCUUCUACGAGUCGAGUUGUUUGGGAAUGCAGCUCAAAAUGGGUGGUGAGUUCCAUCUAAAGCUAAAUAUUGGCGAGAGACCGAUAGCGAACAAGUACCGUGAGGGAAAGAUGAAAAGCACUUUGGAAAGAGAGUUAAACAGUACGUGAAAUUGUUGAAAGGGAAACGAUUGAAGUCAGUCGUGACCGAGAGGCUCAGCCGGUUCUGCCGGUGUAUUCCCCUCGGUCGGGUCAACAUCAGUUUUGUCCGGUGGAUAAGGACGGUAGGAAGGUGGCACCCUCGGGUGUGUUAUAGCCUGCCGUCGCAUACAUCGGGUGAGACUGAGGAACGCAGCUCGCCUUUAUGGCCGGGGUUCGCCCACGUCCGAGCUUAGGAUGUUGACAUAAUGGCUUUAAACGAC
rnacentral:rRNA from 1 species